rnacentral:rRNA from 1 species
UACGUAGGGUGCAAGCGUUGUCCGGAAUUAUUGGGCGUAAAGAGCUCGUAGGCGGUCUGUCGCGUCUGGUGUGAAAACUCAAGGCUUAACCUUGGGCCUGCAUCGGGGACGGGCAGACUAGAGUGCGGUAGGGGAGACUGGAAUUCCUGGUGUAGCGGUGAAAUGCGUAGAGAUCGGAAGGAACGUUGAUGGCGAAGGCAGCCACCUGGCAUGAUACUGACGCUGAGGCGCGAAAGCGUGGGGAGCGAACAGG